ACACACACACACACAGAUAUCCAGGCACAGAUGCAUGCACAUGCGUUAACAACAUUAGCAGAUCUAGACACGAUUAACUCUGCAAUCUGAGACACUGAUGCAUGCACACCCAUGGGAUUACAUAGCAUGAACACGUGACAUCACAAAACGCUGUGAGAAAACAAACUGGAUUUAAAAUUAAUGCACUUCUGUCAGGACAGAGGACACCCUGUUUUGAUUGUGACAGAGACACAAAGCAGCUUUGUGUUAACUCAGUUAUUGUAUCUUCCACCCAAAUACCUGGCAUUGCCAUACCAUUUCCUCAUUUCAGCCCAAAGCUAAACACCCAGCGUUGCUCGUUUUCAUUCAUUCCUCGCUGGCAUUAAAGAAACAGUCCAAGCAUCCUUGAUUAACUUUGGUUAGCCUUUCCUGAUGAACGGAUAAAGGUUGAGAUACUGAGAGGGAGAGAAAUGGGAGCAGACAGUCGUCCAUGUUGUCACACAGUGAUUUAUGGAGGUAAUUAUACCUCUGCUCUUCUGCAUGAGCACACCGCACACUUCUCAGGAAUUAGCUCUUACAUGGAUGGGGAAAAGUUGGGAUUUCGAAAAAAAAUUUGUUUUUAAAGCCACACCCGGACACCGAAAACCCACUGUUUGUAGUUACAAAAAAAAACAAAAAAAACACCUCAAACACACAAUCACACACCAAACCCUCCUCCUUUCUCCUGCUGAGUGUUCAUAUUGCUGGGAAACAGCCGUUAAACAACCUCACGCCUACUUUUAUCACUGCCCAGCAGUGCUCUAGACUGUUCUUCUACAUCACUGCACGCAGCCAGUCUCCGCUGAACGUUGCCCUUCAUAAAAUCGGUUCCAUCCACCUCACGCGUGAUGCUUGCAACAAAAGGCAAUCAGAGCACAAUAAAAAUGUGAUCAUUCAAACUAUAUAGCACAUUGUUUUGGACUGCAUCAUGUUGCCAGUAUGUAGGCCAGGAUGAGUUGGUCUUAGGAGCAGAAUCAUUCAAAGGCCUUUAAAAUCAUGUUUUGAAGGUUACUUUCUGCUUGUAUUUAACCAUUACACUCAUAAACAAUCGGAAAGCGACAAGGCCCGAUCCACAGGACAUGAACAGGGGACAGUCACAAAGGACGUGACUUUAGAUGUGUUCAAAAGGGAAAAGGGAGGGUGAAAUAUUUCCUGAGGAGCAUUUUUUUUUUUUUUUUUUUAUCCUGACCUACUAAGCCAACGUGCUUUUUAACACCACAGCCCUGACUUCAUUCAAUAGGACCUCAGUAGACUUCCUUGAAAAGCAGUGACUGACAAAAAACACACUCAUUUAAACCAGGCUCUGUGGCUUAGUUAGUUUGCACUGGGCUUAGUCACAUGAUGGGGGUCACAUGUGGAAGUCAUCCUGUUGGGCUACUUCCUCAUCUGUGGUCACAUGAGUCUUCAUUCACUUUAUUGUGGCUGUAUGUGUGUUUGUGCAUGCCCUACAUUGAGAAAUAUUAAUCAUGGAAAACAGUGAUACUAGUGUGAACACACAGCAUCAGUGUUUGCCCUACAAAGACACACAAAGAACCACAUGGAGACGGGGAGUUACACCGUCUAGACAACAUUAAUCAGAAAACAUGAUGACUGAAUUGAUGAUGAGGUUUUCGCAGACUUGCUCAUGUACAUUUUUCCCAUGAAAUCAUUUGUUUUGUUUUGCUUUUUUCAAACAAAUGACCAAUCAUUUUCUGUUAAUUACAGUCCUGAGACAAGAUAAUGAAAAGGGUGAGGAUUUACUGACCACUGAUGUGGCAGAUUUUUAACAGGAUAAACUAUACAGUAAAUCAAAAAUAGCUCAAAAUUUUAAACCUUAAAUUAAUUCUUAUAAAAUCCCUGGGAAAAUAAGCUCAGAACGGCUCUUAAAUACAUAUGAAAACAAAACGGACAGAGGUGCUACAGAAUUUCCAUAAUAUUUGAUAUGAGGAAUUAGCAUCAAAACAGCCCGCAGCAACAGACGUACAACCCAGAAAACACGCGUUCCAAGUGUGAAUGAAACGAAACGAUAUGUUGUUGUAGGGCUGCUGAAAAGAGGAUGGUUAUAAAACAGGAAAUACAGAAUGAUUUCUAAAACUGUUGUGUGUUGGAUCUGUAAAAAGCCAACAUAGUGAGCCGUGCAGACUGAGCACGAGGGUGCACUUGCUACGUUCAAUGUGAAAGGGUCCAUUUUGGGUUAGUGCAAGCAUUGCAUCCUGCAGGAAUGUAAUGUGGUUGCAGUGUUUGUAUGUACAGUGUGUGUGUGCUUGGAGGAGAAAUCUGGGAGUAGACUGGGAGGAGGUUACACAAAACACAGAGCAGAUUGGGCUGUGAUUAGGGCAUGUGAAGUAGGUGCAAGCUUUGAUGACUUCAUUCAAAAACACAGAAAUGAAUGGACAAUCUGGUGCAGAUAGCAUCCACAUGUGGUUGUGUACUCUGUGAAUCAUGCAGCAACGUAUGUAGAAACAAACAGGAGGUAAAUGCAUGUCUGUGCAGAAAUUGCAGCUCUUUAAAUGUGACACACCAACACGCAGGCCCUCCUGUGAGUCGGUAAAAGGAAAUUAUAAUGACAAGAGCUUUAGCUAACUCCUCCAGCAUUCACAGCAUUACGUAAGAUUGUACUGGUGAGUGGACCCACUAACCCCACUAUUUGAUAUGGGCUAUAACCCUCUGACACAGAACGCACAAAUGAUUCAUUACCAAAGCGCAGAUAAACAAAAAUCCGGCUCAAGCUAGCUUAUAAAUCCUUAUCGGCCAGCACUUUGUUUAGAGAUAAAACGCAUGUUCUUAAACAACAGCACUUUUGAACUUGAGGUGAUUUCAAUUUCAGGACGCCAAAUUUAGAUAGGAACAUGAUUCGCCAAACCUUACUCUGGCUCACACAUUGUCUUUGGGACUAACCCCCCUUCAAAAAAACAAACAAACAAAAACCCACAAUGGCACAAAUCAGUUCACCGAAUGGCAUCUGUAAACUAACUGACCUACGUGACGUCCUAAUGUUGCUCCGCUGCCAAGAAACCCAUGCCAGUGCGUGGGUUAAAGGCUUCAGUUUGUAUUGCGACACAAAAAAAGCGACGCGGCCGCAUUUAAAACACAAAUCUGGCUGAAGAGAGACAGCAUGGGAGAGAGAGUGUGUGCUGGAGUUAGGAGUGAGAGCAAAGUGGAUUAGAUGUGUAUACCAACGAACGCUGUGGCACGAUAAGCUGCAGGAAGGUUGGACACGCUGCCCUGCUGUAGUACUGUUGUGACUCACACAAAAACACCCACACUUGCGCAUGCACAAAAUACAAAUCUGUGUAUGAAAGAAGUGUGUGAGUGCAAACAGACAUGCAAAAGGAAAAAAAUGAGGAACGUGAACCAGUGAUUAUGCAAGAUCACAUCCAUAACAAUAACACAACAAACACACACACACACACACACACACACACACAGGUGAGCUGCAUUCUGACUUUCCUCAUCCGGUCUCUGCAGCAUGCUCAGCUCCCGUUUGGCACACAGCACAGGGCAGCUCUUGGCAAAGUGUUUACUCGCAAAUUAAAGUGAGACAUUUCAUGAGCUAAAUGGAAGCCUGAGAUGCUCUUAUUGAGUGAUCAGAUGAUAAAGGAAGCCUGCCUUGCUUUCUUACAAAAAUGCUGAUUUAUUUAAAAACAAAAUAAAGGAAGAAAAAAAGACUGCGCUCAGUGUGAACACUUACCACCCAAAAGCAUAAAAGUGCACACGAGCGCACACUAAAACACAACGCAAUACAAAAAAAUCAAAUCCUCUUUUCUUUCAUCCCAAUCUCUCCCUCCUCCUUAUACUUGAGGCUAAAACGAUCAGCAGUUUAAUGACUUUGAGAGAAUGCGAAAACAUAAUGGCGGACAAUUUUGUCCAAAAUAAAUAAAAUAAAAACAAUCCUUUCACGUCUACGUCAGGCUCUUCCAGCUGCCAUGCAAUGCAGCUGAAAACAAAGGCAUGUGUGCUGCCAAAGUGCACUGCUGCAAAGAGCCCAAAUACUGCUCAUGUUUCAUAAUAUUCAACCCCUGUGUGUGUGUGUGUGUGUGUGUGUGCAUGUGUGUGUGUAUACACAGUCUCCUACAGCACAAACGCCUUCCUGUUAACUCUGCUCUGAUUCGUCUCCCCCGUAACGUGCACUGUGUUGGAGGGGGGGAGCAGCUACAACCCAAUGAGAGAAAAACGGGUGAAUUACUGACGGCAAAUGCAGCAGCAGCACGAGGGUCUAUUUGAGAGAGGCAGCUGUCUUCCUGGAAAGAGUUGUUUUUUUUCUCUUCUCGCUUACUCAGAAACAGAGGCCCUUCCUUCCGUUAUGCAGCCCAGCUAAUACAAUGAAAAAUGAGGUGUUUUUUUAAUCCAACAUUCAACAUUCUCCCUCCUCUUCCUCCUUUAUGUACACACACAAUCUCUCUUCCUCUCUCUCUUCUGCUUUGUGUGUGUAGCUGCUGCAUGCCUGCUAGUGUGUUUAUUUCUGGAAGCUCACAACAUGGCCGACAUGUGCUUUGUUAUUGUUAGUACAACAUCAUAUCUCUCGGCCUAUAAGGGCUGUUCCCCUGCCCCCAUCCCACCCAAAACAAGCAGAGCAGGUAGCCUUAAAGAAACACCAGCCUAAACAACAUUCUGUGUCUAAAGAGAAGAAGGAAGGGACAUGAGAAGAAGGACAACAGAUGCUCUCUAAGGAUACAGGAAGACCUGCAGUGUUAAAAACGAAAGUCUCCUCUGCUACAAAAAAAAGCCCUUGAGAUGUGUGCUUUGGUUCUGCUGAGGGACAGUGGGAAUCCUGGCAACAAUAAGGACAGCUGUACAAACAUUUGCCUGUCUCACCAGCAAGCCCUUUGUCAAGAUCCUAAAUAAACCUGGAAACAUUAUAGAAAUCAGGCUUCCUUGAAGGGAUGUGUCACCUGGCCUGCAUGCGCAGGCUCUACAAGCUUUGUAGAGCCUGAAGGGCUUGCUGGUGCAGUACGAUGAAAAGCUAGCUCUUCUCGGCCUCUGGACUCCAAAUGUUCAAGCUUCACGCAGAUGUGUUGCUAAAGUACUUGCAUCCAAUGUUUCAAGAGCAAGAUAAGAUGCCAACCUGUCCCAGUCUUUCACACAUUUUGCAAAACAGUUUUGCAUGAUACUCCAUGAGCCUGUGACAAUAAAAAGGGGGAGAAAAGUGUAC